AUUUCUGCUCUGACAAGAAUCUGCACGGUUUUGGUUAGUGUAAGGAAGCAGUGUGGUUGUUGGCUGACAGAUGAAAACACUUCCUUCUCUAAAAGCCUUCAACAAUCCUCCUCCUCAUGACCGACAACCUCGUUCAUCUUCAUGCAGCGGUAUGAGCGUGCUUUGCCUGUAACCCACUGUACAUCGGACAGUGCACACUAAUGAAAAAUCAUCUGUACAGACUGUAGAUGAGCCAGAUUAAAGCAUAGUUUCCAUCUGUAGUCCUCCAAUCUAGUGUGGGUGGCGCUGGAAGCAAGGGUGAUGCCUCGGUCAUUUUUAGUAAAGCGAGGAGGUUUAGAGCCCCUUCAGUCAGAACUGAGUCCUGUAAUGAAUGCAGCAGAAAAAGAGAAGGGGCCCUGGUACACAUCCCAGGGGGACGCCACUGCACCCAUGCAGGAUAUUGACACAGUCAUCCUUGAAUCACUGCAGAACUUUCCUGAUAACAAGUCCUCUGAAGAGCCCACUUCUGCUGAUCCCUGCUGUCCAGACCACAAAGAUACUUCCAAAGAAGACCCUCAAGCCGCUGUUUGCUCCAGACCUCAAGUGAGUUCAGAAAGGCAAAUUGAAGUUUUACAUCCAUACUUCCAGGACCAGAAGUUCCAUGACAAUUCAAAGAAAAUUUCUCCCAGAAAAGAGUGUCCACUCUGUGGCAAAGUAGGUCAUCGAGCCUUCAAAAUGCGAGCACGCUUAUAUUUACUACGCAUGUGUCCGGUUUCAAGAGACACAUGUACAAGUGCCAUGGAACCAGGACGUCAGCACGCAUCCUGUCGUACACAACAGACAGGGGAAAGGCCGUUUGCCUGCACAGAGUGUGGAAAAGCGUUCAAGCGCUCCUCCACCCUUUCCACUCAUCUGCUCAUCCAUUCUGACACCCGGCCGUAUGCAUGCCAGUACUGCAGCAAACGCUUCCACCAGAAGUCGGACAUGAAGAAACACACCUUCAUACACACUGGUGAGAAACCCCACGUGUGUCACAUAUGCGGGAAAGGCUUCAGCCAGAGCUCCAACCUCAUCACCCACAGCCGCAAGCACAAAGGCGACUGGCCCCACCGCUGCCCUCGCUGCCUGUACAGCUUCCAGGACCGACGGAACUUGUGGCAGCACCAGUGUGCCCACCGCUAACACAAGGCUACAUGCAAGGAAAAACAGCAAGCAGCCACAACCGCAAGAUCCACUCUACAAGUUUCUCCAAAGACACCAAUGGCGAGAAACCCUACGUGUGUCACAUGUGCGGGAAAGCCAGAACUCCAACCUCGUCACCCACAGCCGCAACCUUUGCCUUGGCUGCCUCUACAGCUUCCAGGAGCAACGGGACUAAUGGCAGCACCAGUGUUUCCACCCCUAAGUCAUGCAGGUGGGCACCUCGUUCAGAGACAUACAGUAGCGGACUAUAUAGCUCCCUUUCAGACAAAUAGUGGACUAUUUGCUCGACUUUGAACAUGUAGCAACCAGAAAGCUGCCAAAAAAGGGUUGCGGUAGCAGAAAUCAAUCAUUUGGUAGCACUUUGAUUUAGGGAUGUGCCGAUAAACUGGCCACAGAUCUGUAUCGGAUGAUAUUCUCGAAAAUGUAUGUGAUGAUUGCCUUUGCUGAUUAGUACCUUUUUUAUGCAAAUCACAAACACAGAACCUUUGGUAUCGGUCGAUCUCACCCAUAGGUGAUCGGUAUCUAAAUCGGCAUCAUAAAAACCCAGAUUAGAACAGCCCUACUUUGAACCCUUUGCAAAAGUCACAAAUUUUCCCACCCUUUAUAAUAGUUUAGCACACCCAGUCUGUUAGUCAUCAUCCAUGCACCAGAAAGUCGUGUGCAUUAGUCAUCCUCCAUACACCAGAAGGUUGCCUGCUGCCUAACAAACAAGAAUAUAUAUUUUAUUCACACAUUUCCGUUUACGAUUCAGUCCAAGGAAGAUGUGAAUCCAGGCAAGGCGUACAAGGUUAGAGUAUUAUUAUAUACAAUAAAUAACGUCUUGAUAUUUUUCAACAAAGCCUUGUUUUGUUUGUUUUUUCUUCUUUUCACAAGGCAAUUCUCUUCAAUAAAUUACAAACUAUAAGCCUUUAUUUUUUCCUACACUUCGAACCCUGCGGCUUACAAAGACUGCGCAGCUAAUGUAUGGAUUUUUUUUGUGCUGAUAGCUCUGUUAAAAAAGAUUUUUUUUAAAAAUCAAAUGCAAUGACAUGAUGUUUUACUGUUUUGGACAAGUUUGCUCACUGCAGGUGACUAAAACUUCAUAUUUACUAAA